UGGGGAAUAUUGGACAAUGGGCGAAAGCCUGAUCCAGCCAUGCCGCGUGUGUGAAGAAGGUCUUCAGAUUGUAAAGCACUUUAAGUUGGGAGGAAGGGCAGUAAGCGAAUACCUUGCUGUUUUGACGUUACCGACAGAAUAAGCACCGGCUAACUCUGUGCCAGCAGCCGCGGUAAUACAGAGGGUGCAAGCGUUAAUCGGAAUUACUGGGCGUAAAGCGCGCGUAGGUGGUUCGUUAAGUUGAAUGUGAAAGCCCCGGGCUCAACCUGGGAACGGCAUCCAAAACUGGCGAGCUAGAGUAGGGCAGAGGGUGGUGGAAUUUCCUGUGUAGCGGUGAAAUGCGUAGAUAUAGGAAGGAACACCAGUGGCGAAGGCGACCACCUGGGCUCAUACUGACACUGAGGUGCGAAAGCGUGGGGAGCAAACAGG
rnacentral:rRNA from 1 species